rnacentral:rRNA from 1 species
GACGAACGCUGGCGGCGUGCCUAAUACAUGCAAGUAGAACGCUGAAGGAGGAGCUUGCUUCUCUGGAUGAGUUGCGAACGGGUGAGUAACGCGUAGGUAACCUGCCUGGUAGCGGGGGAUAACUAUUGGAAACGAUAGCUAAUACCGCAUAAGAGUAGAUGUUGCAUGACAUUUGCUUAAAAGGUGCAAUUGCAUCACUACCAGAUGGAACUGCGUUGUAUUAGCUAGUUGGUGGGGUAACGGCUUACCAAGGCGACGAUACAUAGCCGACCUGAGAGGGUGAUCGGCCACACUGGGACUGAGACACGGCCCAGACUCCUACGGGAGGCAGCAGUAGGGAAUCUUCGGCAAUGGACGGAAGUCUGACCGAGCAACGCCGCGUGAGUGAAGAAGGUUUUCGGAUCGUAAAGCUCUGUUGUAAGAGAAGAACGAGUGUGAGAGUGGAAAGUUCACACUGUGACGGUAGCUUACCAGAAAGGGACGGCUAACUACGUG